rnacentral:tRNA from 1 species
GCAACGAUAGCUUAAGCUUAAAGCAUUGGUCUUGUAAGCCAAGGAUGAACUUAGACGUUCUCGCUGCU